UUCUCAUCUCACAAGAGGAAGAGAUCAGGGCUUUAUAUGAGGAGGAUUCAGAGGAGGGAGAGCAGAAGAGCAGAUCACCUGGAGAAUAAACAGGAAGUGCUAAGAGAAAUUUACCUUUCCUUCAGAAGCAACCACACAAGUAGAGAGGAUAGAUUUCUCCCAGUGACUGUGGAGAACAAUGGUCCUAAAAUGCUGGAGCUGACUGAAUGAUCACACUGCAUUGCAGAUUGUACCUAGGGUGUUGUGCAUUCUGAGCAAAAUUCUACUGCUGAGCUGUACUCCCAAAGCCUCCUGAUAACUUUUGAAUGGAUGAAGUGCAGCCACACUCUUCUUCACCUCAACUUUACAAGCAUUUCCUUUCAGACCAAGCUAUAUGUCAUUUGGCUGUGAUUUUUUGCUCGUGAUUGU
rnacentral:lncRNA from 1 species